ensembl:lncRNA
AAUGAGGUUGUUGUAAAAGCUAAAAAUAGUGGGAGAAAAGUCCUUCUGUGAACACUAAACAACAAUAACCCACCUCCCUCUGCCUCAGAAAGCUCCAAAGCUGUAUGCCCUUUGCUAGAGGCUGGAGAUGCAUGAUGUGCUAUGUGCUUUUCUAACUCUUAUAUUCUUCUGUUGGCUGUUACAAAACCAGGAUAUUGGGCUGGUGGACUUUAGCCUUGAACUCUUGUGACCACUCAUAUGUGGGUAUUAUCCUAAAUUGGACAUAACUGAGUGAAGGCUGUGUUGCCAGCAGCGGAAGCCAGAUCUAAAGAAAGGAGACAAGUGCCUUGUUGUAUGGAUGUCAGAUUCCACUGGAAGUCAGGAAGUGAACCCUUGAUCUGGAGAAAAGUAUUCCAAAGCAAGAAAAAACCCAGACAUUCACCACUGAGCCUCAGAACGGCUGCUGGAAUAAGAAAAUGCAGAACAGUGAUUUGAACAACAGAACCUCUGAGCUCAGCGACUGGAAUUCCCAAUUACAGACAUACUGCUGUUUCUCCUCCCUCAACACAGAUGUUUAGCUUGAUCACUCCCCCAAGCCCAGUGAGACAAGCUCUGUGAAGGAUGCGGAGCUAUGCAUGCUCCGACAGCUACAUCAAAGGCCGGGCCCAGCCUGCGCCUCAGCCACCAGUCUGGAGGAAAUCAGAGACCCUCAUUAAAGUUUCAGAAAAACCUAACUGGUAUGAGGACGGCACUCAAAAAUGUAUUCAGGGGAAAACAAAUAUUGUUUUAAUGCUAUUAAUAAUUGAUGAGUUGCCAGCAGAGAUCCUCAUAGCAUUAAGGGAAUUGAAAAUUAAAGGCACAAAGACACUACUUUAAGAAAACAUCUUGGUAAAUAAUUAAUACGGAGUGGGCCUAUUGGAAUCUGAAGAGUGUAGCUUUUAGUUUAUCUUGUCAAACCUAUGCUUUCUAAUACCAGAGUUUCUUCCAGAAUGAGAGCGUGGUCAUUUUCAUUUCAUAUGGACAAAAGAUCUCAUUGUUUCUGCUGCUUGGCUGAAAUCAUUUACAGGCUUCUGUAUUGGUUGUGUUGAGCUCCUGGCAUCAUCCUAGGGAGCACAGCUAAGCACCCAAAGAUUAUGGCUUCCUGAUAUCAAGAGGGGGAAUCAGAGGGAUAAUUAUUUAGAAAACAUAGAAGAACAUGUUCCUGCAUCUGUCCCAGGGAAACAACUGUUUGUCAGGGUCAGACUGGAUCAGAGGAAGAAGCCCUGCCAAUGCGUGCUUAGCAAAACGAGGUAUAAAUAGCUGUGAGGAGCAUCUUGGGAUGUGUAAGACUCAGGAGCAGCGACUCCUUCAGCUUUUGUGUCUCUAGAGAGAUGUGUUUGCAAUGGUGAGGCCAGUUGUGGGGGCUGCACCAAAUAAAUAAUUCAGUGGCUGGCACUUUCCCCGAGCAUUCUUUCUGAUAGGGAUCUUGAGGACAACAAAUAGAGCAGUCCAGCACUCCACAAAGCACAAGCCCAUCAGAAUGACUAAAGAAAGGCUGAUCAUAAAACGUAUUAAAGGAAAUAAAUACUGAAUUUCUGCAUCUCCUUCCAAAGCAGCUCCCUACCACAACAGCGUGCAGAGCUGUGAGAGCACAGUUCAGAGACGUGGCUGAAGAGUUCAACUGAUGCACAUUUCCUGGCAUGGAGAGAUAACGUAGAUUCAAAACAAAACAGCGAGUGCUGUGUUAGCUAGCAGAGCCUCUGCUGUCUCUGAAAACCUGUGUUGCUGAAGGGCGUAUGAGCUCUUAAAGUCCCAAUUUAUUCCAGUCUAUUUCUAUCUUUUAGGCUGUUGUAACGAAGCAGCCAGUAAGUCAGGCAUAAUUGCUGGCAGGCAUUCUAAUUUAGGGAACUGCACAAGAGCAUCCACAGAACUAUAUUUAUCAUUUCAUUCCUUUAAAUAAAGCAAAAGUGAAUGUGGUUUCUUCAUUACAAAUGUCUGGGAGUGUCUUACAUGCAAAAGGACUGUUGAGAUUGAUGGAAUUCAUAAACACCCUUUAUUUACUACAACAAAGUUAAUAAUUAAGCAGAAGAGAGAACAUCCACGAACGCUGUUAUAAAAUAAUUCUUGCCCUGGUUCCAAGCAAAAAUUUAAAUGUAAAUUAGUGAUUGAGAACACGAAGAUGAUCCGCUGUAACUAUAAAGAGAAGUUCAUGUUCUCCAUUCUGGAUGAAGUAAAUACAACAGUCUGACAUUGCCUCAACACACUGCCGAGUGCAAACCCACCCAGUCCCAGCACUCUCUUACACAGCUGCUCCUUUUACCAUCUCCCCGUGCAGGGAUAACGUUCAUGCAGCUGCCCCACGCUCUGUCCUUUCACCUCUCCUCCUGCCCCACCUCCCUCUUGCUCUUUGGCCUUCC